UGAAAAAUUAGAACCGUGAUUGCAAAAAGACAUUUCAGAGAAGUUUUUUUUUCUAGUUGUGACCAGAGACAGAUGUGAGAGCGCCUCCAGUGAAAACGAGUGCAGAUGCUGAGAGCGUGAGCUUUAUUAAUUGGGUGAUCUUCAAUGCUGUUGGACGGCUGGAGCUCGACGGCCCUUUUCAGAAAAGAUGUGCGAAUAUGAGACCUCUGGGGAAAUAUGAUCUGAACGAAAGCAAUGCUGUAUAUGGCUCUGACGGAGUCGCUGUCACUGGAACAGACCACAAAUCGAGGAAACCAUAUGCUGGGAUGUGCCAAGAGCUCAUGAUAGGCCAUUGACGGAUGUGCCUACACAAACAAGCGAGGAAACAAGCCAACCGGCGUGCCAAUGAUUCAGCCUGUCGAAGGGAAUGGCCGCCACCAUGUCUAUAAGGAACCAGCCUUUGAAGUAAUGGAUGGCGAUCUUCCCCGGAUCGCUCACCACCUCCUCGUUCAAGUUCACGAAGGCAGCAGAAUAAGGGGUUAAAAUGGCUGUAUAAAUAACCAGCAGCAGGAUGAGCCAAUCCCACAUUGCUUUGAAUGGG